rnacentral:tRNA from 1 species
GGCUCUGUGGCCCAACGGGAUAAGGUGUCCGACUACGAAUCGGAAGAUUCCAGGUUCAAAACCUGGCAGAGUCC